AGUUGCGCUCGAGGCCGUUAGGUCGAGAGCACGUCUGUUUGGGUGUC
rnacentral:rRNA from 1 species